rnacentral:rRNA from 1 species
GUAGGUGGGUUUGUUAGUCAGAUGUGAAAGCCUUUCGUUCAACGGAAGAAUUGCAUCUGAAACUACAAACCUUGAGUAUAGGAGGGGAGAGUGGAACUUCUGGUGGAGCGGUGAAAUGCGUAGAUAUCAGAAGGAACGCCGGCGGCGAAAGCGACUCUCUGGCCUAUAACUGACACUGAGUGUGCGAAAGCUAGGGGAGCAAAC